ACUCCUACGGGAGGCAGCAGUGGGGAAUAUUGCACAAUGGGGGAAACCCUGAUGCAGCCAUGCCGCGUGUGUGAAGAAGGCCUUCGGGUUGUAAAGCACUUUCAGUAGGGAGGAAGGUAGUGUAGUUAACACCUGCAUUAUUUGACGUUACCUACAGAAGAAGCACCGGCUAACUCCGUGCCAGCAGCCGGCGGUAAUACGGAGGGUGCGAGCGUUAAUCGGGAAUUACUGGGCGUAAAGCGCAUGCAGGCGGCCUGUUAAGUCAGAUGUGAAAGCCCGGGGCUUAACCUCGGAAUUGCAUUUGAAACUGGCAGGCUAGAGUCUUGUAGAGGGGGGUAGAAUUUCAGGUGUAGCGGUGAAAUGCGUAGAGAUCUGAAGGAAUACCAGUGGCGAAGGCGGCCCCCUGGACAAAGACUGACGCUCAGAUGCGAAAGCGUGGGGAGCAAACAGGAUUAGAUACCCUGG
rnacentral:rRNA from 1 species